CGUUGUGCAGCGUGUCGUCCGGCACGUGCUGGUCCACGUACAGCUGGGCCUCGCUGGCCUUGAGGAAGGCCAUGAAGCGCGCGGUGAAGGAGGCCACGAAGAUGGACAGCAUCCCGAAGUCCAGCAGGUUCCACAGAAAACGUGUCCUGAUUUCAAACAGCUCUUUUCAGAAUUGGGAUUUUCAGGAUUUCAGCACAGGACUGCUAUUCCCAACAAAAGAUGAACAACUAAGACUGCAAACCUGGUGCUGUCCACAGAAGCAAAGUGAACCUCCCACCCGCCGUUCCUGCCGUGUGGCAGAUUUCCAGCACUUCAGGCUGUGUCACCACAUCUGAAAGAGGUACAUGAGUACGAGAGGCUGGGAGUUUGCUUCUUCUCCAGGAGACACGAUGAACAGAUAAAUGAUGGAAUUCAUGUUUUGUCUAAGUUUAUAUUCAUGUUGGAAGUGCCAGGAUAUUGGAAAACAGCAACUUCCUUAGUUCCCAAAGGCAGUUGGGCUGCAGAUAUACAGAGCUUAUUAGGAAAAGAUUUAUACUGUCAUGUGGAGGAGGUGCUCCAAGAAAUGAGCCAAGAACAGGAAUUGGAGCUUAGAUCAAGGGGAUUUUUGGCCGCAAACGAGAAUUCUUUAUUUCAUGAGCUAUGCCGAGGCAUGCUGUCCGCCUCCCCUCCCCACCACUUUUUUUGCAGCACUGCCUUUGAAACUUUCUGUUUUCUCACCACUUGAGCGUCAGUCAGGUGUCCCCCUCCUUGAUGAGAGACUCCACAUGGAUGGCUGGACAAUGUCAGUCAGUUCGUCUCCCCUGCCUCCUCUUCUGCUUGUACACUGACAGAGUCUGCCGUGUUGCUUGCUUAUUUCCACUGCUGAGAGUCCUGCUGGGCAGAUGCUCACUGAGCCAUUCUGGAAGUGUACCAGGCAGGAAGAGGAGGUGGGCAACCCUGAAGUCUCUUCACUAGCACGGAUAUUUGUUAUCACUUAGGUAGGUAGGUAGUGUGCUCAGUCAUUGUCAGGAAAAGCUUUCUGUUCCCAUUGGGCCAGGAGCACAUGUCAAAGUCUCCCACCUCUCUUUAGGCAUACCUGCUGUUCUCCAAGCCAACAGGGAUUAUGUAAACAAAUGUCCCAUUUGGGGAGUUGUUCUGAAGACUGUACCCAUGACUCAGCAGUAUCUCUCUUAUCAGAAUAAAGUCAGCCACAAACCAACCUGUGCCUCAGUCUCAGGCACAGGGACCAAAACAAAUAGCACUGGGUUUUCUCCUAGAGCUGUGGGUGAGCUGUCUGCCGAGGGCAGGUGCCAGGGCAGGGAUUGUGGCUGGCUUUCCUGCAGGGGGAUGCUGAGUGUUGUGAUUUCCCAGAUCAGAAUCCUUUUGUGCAGUGAGCCCAGAGGGUGCUGUUGAAGUGACUUGGUUUCCACUCUGACUACAUUGCUAUGGCCAGAGUCCCUUUGAAGGCUGGGAGUCAGCUCAUCGCUGGCUCCAGGUGAGUGCCUCUGCUGCUUUACAGUGUCAGAAAGAGGCCACUCUCUACACCUGGGCAGAGACUUCUCCACCCUACCUGGCGACUGUUAAGCCCUAACUUGAGACCAAAGAAGUAGAAGAUUCUUACAGCAAACCAUUUGGAUUGCUUUCCACUCCUCUCUUCCUGAGCCUUUCCCUGUAGUCAGUCAGCUGUUUACUGCCCCGUAACAUGGCAGUAUACAUAUUUGUGUGCAAAGAAGGCCAGUCCUGCUCCAAGAUGGCCCAACUCCUAAACAGAAUUUGAUGCCAAACUUCCUUACACUUCCAAGUCCUACAGAGUCCCUUGGCCUCCAGAGAUGUCUUGGACUCCUUUGGGUCUCAUUCUGUGGCCCACUCACUUGACAAUCAUGGUUCAUGAGUCAGCCUGUGACGGGCUUUACUAUUGUGUUUACCUGUGAUGUUUGCUGCUAUUUCUCAUCUCCUUGAGAGACCCAGCUGAUGCUGUACCCCCAAGAGGUGCAUCCUUGUUUUACAUGUAGGAGGUGUUCAGUAAACUUCUGUUGAGAUUGAUAAACUGAGCACUCUUCCAAGUCCUCUAAGAUCUGCUUCAUAAUU